rnacentral:lncRNA from 1 species
UUUUUUUUUUUUUUUUUUACUUGUAUGAAAUUAAUCAGUGUGACAUCUUUGGAUCCUUCUUAUUCUUUUAAGCCAUGCUCACUCGGUAUAAGCAAUUCCUGUGAGCAUCACUUGCUUCCCAGAUUUAUUAGGUCUCCCUUAAAUAUAGAAAAAUAUCUGUUCUUAAGUACUCUGUGAAUUCCUUUGGUUAUAUCAAAUAAUUCAUUCUUUUUAAGAAGAUACAAAGUUCUCAGGAGCAAGUAGCAAUGUUAGUACUGGGAUACUGCAGAUGAAGAGAAAUCUGCAUUAGGUUGCUAGGGCUGUUGUGAUAAUGCACUACAAACUGGGUGGCAUAAACAACAGAAAUUUGUUAUCUAACGAUCCUAGAGGCUAGAAGCCUGAGACCAAGGUGUCAUCAAGACUGGCUCCUUCUGAGGGCUAUGAGGGAGAAUUUGUUCCAAGCUUCCAUUCUAGCUUCUAGUGUGUUAGAAAUCUGUCCUUUCUUGGCUUGUAGAAUUAUCACCUUAAUCUCUACCUUCAUCUCCAUAGGACAUUCUCUAUAUGUCUAUGUCAGUGUCCAAAUUUCCCCUUUUUAUAAAGACACCAGUCAUACUGGAUGAGGGACCACCUCACUCCAGUAUGACAUCAUUUUACUUAAUUACCUCUGCAACAACCCUAUUUCUUUUGUUGUUGUUGUUGUUUUUUAAAGACUAUUUAUUUAUUUAUUUAUUUAUUUAUUUAUUUUAUUUAUUGAGAGAGAGAGGGAGUGCACAGGUGGUGGAGCAGAGGCAGAGGGAGAUGAAGAGGGAGAGUAUCUCCAGCAGACACUCUGCAGAGCUCAGAGCCCAGUGUAGGGGCUGGAUCUCAUGACCUGGAGAUCAUGACCUGAGCCAAAACCAAGAGUCAGAUGCUUAACCAACUGAGCCACCCAGGCAGUCCCAACAACCCUAUUUUUAAAUAAGGUCACAUUAUGUGGUACUGAGGGUCAAGACUUCAACCUAUGAAUCUUGGGUGGAUACAAUUCAACCUAUAAUAUAUAGCUUCCAGGAUUCUUAGUGUAGGGAGAAUUGCAUAAUAGCAUUGGUUUUGAAUUUCAUACCAGGGUUCAGUUGCAUUAAUAAUGAAUUCCUCCGGAAGGCUUUUGGCUAAAUUAUGAAGAGGAGUUUGCUUUCUGUUAUUCUGCUACCUUCUUCCGGGUCUUUUUGCCCCUAGGGGGCCCUCCAGGUUUAGUCCUUUCAUGUUCUUGCCCUUAAGAAUACACAUAUAACUCAUAAUGCUAAGUUUCUGCCAUAGCGUUUGUUGCUUUAGGGAACAUCUACUGAUCACUUUUUGUUAAUCAUUACAGAAUUUUAGAGUCUUGAGCUUUUUACCUGGUAGCUUCAUCUGACAUGCUUAUAGAAUAACAAGAUAUUAGAUUUUAAAUCAUCUAUUUUUCUUACUUUACAUCCUUACCUAAAUGAAUUCUUUAUCUUCUUCCUCAACAAAGUUACCAUUUUAGCAAAAUUUUCAUUUCUGGGAUCAGUUUUUUUUUUUUUUUCUCUUUUGAGAAAAAGAACCAGAGGCCUCUUAAAAUCUUCCUUCCUUUCAUCUCCAACAUCCCACUUGUCAGUAGUUGCUAUAAUGUGUUACUUUGACUUGUCUCUCAUUUUCACCAUAUCUAAGAGAAGUUUUAGGUGGGACACCUGGGUGGCCCAGUGGUUGAGCAUCUGCCUUUGGCUCAAGUUGUAAUCUUGGGGUCCAGGGAUCGAGUCCCGCAUCAGGCUCCCCACAGUGAGCCUGCCUCUCUUUCUGUGUCUCUCAUGAAUAAAUAAAUAAAUAAUCUUUAAAAAAUAAGAAGUUUCAGGCAUCCAUUUUGGGCACUUUAUUUAGGGAAAGUAUUUCUAGAUUUGCCUAUUAACAGAAAUAUCUUUAAGCUAUUCUUUGUGAUGGAAGAACGCAUUUUAGUUUCUCAACAAUUCUUUGUGGAAGGUGUAAACCCAGUUUUAUUUUUAAUUCAGAAAUAAUCGACAUAUAUAAGUUUUAGGGUGUGCAACCUGAUUCAGUAUUUGUAUACACUGUGAAGUGAUCACCAUAAUAAAUGUAGUUAACAUCAAUCACCACACAGUUAAAAGUUAUUUUCUUGUGAUGAGACUUUUUCAAAUCUACUCUCUUAGCAACCUUCAAAUAUGCAAUACAUCAUUAUUAACUAUAGUUGCCAUGCAGCAUAUUACAUCCCAGGAUUUUUUUUAUUUUCUAACUAGACGUCCGUACCUUUGGACCCCUUUCAUCAAUUUGGCCCACUACCAACCUCCACCUCACUGGUCACUCCUCUGUAUCUAUGAGUUCAGAUUUGUUUUGUUUUGUUUUUUUAGAUUCCACAUAUGAGAUCAUACUGUAUUUGUCUUUCUCUGUCUGCCUUAUUUCACUUAACAUAAUGCCCCCAAGGUCCACAAAUCCUGCUUUAUAAGAUGAGAAAAUUGAAGUUAAAUAACUUGACCAAAGUUUCAUAGCCAGGAGUUAGUAAAACCUAUAUUAGGACCAUGCCAACUUAAAUUAAAUCCUUCACUUUUGACCACAACACUAUAUUUGAAAGUGAAAAUAUCAUGCAUUGCUUUUUAUUCAGUCGUGUUUUGCAAUAACAAUCCCCGGCUCUCUUUAUUAACAUUGCCACACAUAAACACUGCACAUUUCCCCUCCGUGUCUAGUUGAAUGUUAGGCACAAAGCUUAUGUUCAGUACAUACCUUUCCUUAUAAGAAGUCCUAUUUAAGCCAUUAUAAACUUAUAAACAUAACUGGAAAAGUCAUCAUAGAACUCUGGGCUGGGAAAAAUAUUGGACAGAGUUAACAGACCUAUGUGCUAGCCUUGUGUAACACCUGCGAUACUAAGUUCCCUCAUUUGCAAAUUAAAAAGUUUGGUUUUAAUGGUUUGGGCUCAGAAGGGUUUAAAAAUGCAUAGCUCACAUUUUGUAGUUCCAAUCAUGUUUUAAUCAUGUUGGAAAAUACUUUCACUUCUGGUUACCAGCGAGGAAUAUAUGGCAUAGCAAUGAUUUUAAUGGUAUUUAGGAAUGCAAAUUAUGUGUAUCCAGGUUUUGGCUGACCUACAUAUUUGAGAUGUGUGUGUGUGCGUGUAUGCAUAGUAUCAGUACUCAGAUCUAAUCUGUGUAUUCCUCAGAAAUAUACACAUGCUCAGGGCUCAGCUAUAUUAAUUAUGAGAUUAUAUGGUAAGAAACAUUAUCUUCAUUGAUGUAUCCUAUCUUUCUCUUAACAUUUAGUUUUCAUUUUCAGCCUUUAAAAAGAGAUCAGUUAAAAAGAGCAGUUAACAUUUUUCGGGCACAAAAAUUGGCAGUAAGUGAGCUAUAGUACAUUAGUUAUAUGCUUUGAGAUCCAAACAGCUGGGCUUCCCUUAGACGUGUUAUGAUACCCAUAGAUAAUUUUUUCUCAGUGUUUAGUAUUUUUCAGAUGCUGUGUAUUCACUGACAUUAUCUCUUCCAAUCCUUGUAACAAUCUUAAGAGGUGGGUAGUAUUAACCAUCCCAUCUUACAGAUAAGAGACCUGAGGCGGAGAGGCCAUGAAACUUGGUUAAAGGGGUAGCACAAACCAGCAGUUAAAUCCAUAUAAUCUGAUUCCAAAGCCAACUCACUAACCAUUCUUUAACUUAGACAUUUGGACAACUUCCUGUUCAGUUAUGGUUUUUAAAAUAGAAUAUUUAAAAAUUAAAUUGCCAUACUUAAUAAGAGAUAAAUUAGACUUAAAAAGCCAGCCAGUUUUUGACAACAAAGUUUCAGUGAGUUACUCUCCUAUUCUUAGCUGUAAUGAAUCUCCACUUAAUUUUCAGAUUUGAUCCUGGCCAUCAUUAAAUUCUUGUGGCUAUUACCUAAUUUCCUAAAUUAGAAUGUUCCCAAGUCCAGUGUUUCCAUAGCUUCUCCAGGUAGGAAUUUUUAUAUUUUUUCCCCCAGUUCCUGAAGUUUUUAAUGUCCUCAGGGAAUGACUCUUAGUUGUGAGACACACGAGGAGACAUUUAAAAACAAAAACUUUUCUGAUUUUUCCCCACCCUUAGCUGGUGAGAAGAGAAGCACUCUCAUAUCAAUGAGUUCCACAGAAAUUAAGUUGUUAAAUCAAUAAAUAUAUGGGCUCCUUAGGUCUAGCUGAAUAGUAAAAGCAGCAUGAGUACAUAUGCACCCCAUUAAGCUUUCAAAUCAAAAUUGGAUGAGUAAACAGUUCCACUGUCCUAUUCUUUGCAAAAAUCCUUCCAAAUUAUUAAUACAAAGCAAUAGGAGUUAAAACUAAAAGACUGACAAUAGCCAUUUAUUGCCCUGUUUACUACUAAUAGCCAACUGAAAGGACAGGAAGCCUCUGAAAACGUGUCUUAUUUUCUCACUUUCAUAUAUUUUGGAUCAUUCAGGUUUAUGCUUCUGUGAAUCACCCGUUUACCUACCUUUCAACCAUUCUUUUCUUAAGUUUGUCUUUUAUUGAUUUAUAGGAGCUCUUUGUGUAUUUUAGGUACUAAUUAAUUGUUAGUUCUAGGUAUUAUCAAUACUUCAUCUCAAUCCAGAGUCCUGCAUUUCACUUCAUUUGUUGUGUCUUUUGUCAAAUAACAGAAUUAAACUUGGUAGUUAAAUCUUUUCCUUCAUGUUUUGAAUUUUAUGUGUCUUGAUUACAUAAUCCUUCACUAUACAGGUCAUGAAGAUACUCUCCAACUUUUAAAAAUAUUUUUCUUCAAAAAGUUUUAAAACAUAUACACACACAUUCUGGGAGCACUGCAUUGUUGUGAUAUUGAAUCUUCUCAUCUGUGAGAUCUCUCAUAAUUUGUCUCUAUGAUUUGUAAUAAGAUUUUAUAUUUUUCCUUAUAAAGUUUUUGCACAUCUUCAUGCCUUGGUUAUAGUUACCUUAUGUUUAUUGUAAAUCUUUUAAAGAUUAUAUAUUAUAAGAGUUUCUGCUUUGUAAAAAUAGACGUAAGUUUUAUAAUUUUUUUGUAUUAAUUCUAUACCCAGCAUGACUUUGCUGAAUUUUAUCAGCUUUAACAAUUUGACAAUAUAAAUCACCAUAAUUUUUUAAUGUAAAUGUAGUAAAAUGGUUUACAAGUACUUUAUUAAACAGAAGUGGUAAUACUUUUCAUUUUGAACUUGAAAAGGAAUUCUCUUAUGGUUAAGUUACUGUUGAUUUUUAUCAUUAAUUUUUUCUUAGCUACCUUUUAUCAGAAACUCUAUUUCCUUAUAGCCAGUGAUUCUGUGGUGAUCAACAGAGCAUCAGAAUCAUCAUGGAGAACUUUCUUAAAAGAAUAAAUAGAAGGCUGGUUUCUGCUCUAGUAUGUCUGUGGAGGAGCUCCAAAAUUUGCUUUAGGAAUAAGUUUCUAGGUGAGGCUGAUGAGCUAGUCAAGGGACCAUAGUCUGAGUACUGCUGCCACCACUCUAUGUUACACUUAAACUUCCAUCCUUAAAUUUGAGAUGUAUACUGAUGGUAAGAUGAUUUUUAUUUGUUCACAAACUUGCUUAUUCCAGUUUUGUUAUGAUCCUUUAGUAUGGAGUUCAUUUGUUUAUGGCUAAUGCCUGCAAAUAGUUUCAUAAAUAUUUGCCCAGCUUUGAGAGCUUUCUCUAGCUGAUUCUUUUUAUAUGUAGCUAUUCUUUGUUCAUAGCAUAUUUCUCCCAAUAUUUUAUUAUGAAGAUUUAUGAACAUGUAAGAAUUGAAAUAAUUUGACAUUGAACACCUGUAUAGUCACUAACUAUAUUCUAAUAAACAUUUUGCUAUACAUGAUAUACACAUUUUUCCAUCUAUCCAUCUCUCUAUCCAUUUAUCAAUACAUCUUUUUUAAAUAACAUAAGCUCUUUAUUUUAAAAUUUUUAUUUAAAUUCAAUUAAUUAAUAUCUAGUAUAUCAUUAAUUUCAGAGAUAGGGUUUAGUGAUUCAUUAGUUGCAUAUAAUGCCCACUUCUCAUUACCUCACAUACUCUCUUAACUUCCCAUCAGCUAGUUACCCUGUCCCCCCACCCACCUGCCAUCCAGCAACCCUCAGCUUGUUUCAUAUAGUUAAGAGUCUCUUCUGGUUUGUCUCCUUCUUAAUUUAUUUUUUUGUCUUAUUUUAUUUUUAAUGCUUUUGUGUCCUUUUCCUUGUAUCUUUGAAUCAUGUUUUUUCUCUUUAAUCAUCUUAAUUAUAUUCAUUUCAGAAUCUCUAUCAAAUUCUAUUUUCUGCCAUUAUUAAAAUUCAAAAUCUCGUGUUAAGUGUGCUAUCUUGUUCAUGGUGGAUUGUUUCCUUUUAUUUUACUAUUGUAUUGUAAACUCAUUUUCAUUCUUACAAGAAUCUUGUGUAGCCUAGGUUGAAAGCAUGUCCUAUCAAGGAAUUUUAGUGUUUUCUUAUUCCAUGACUCUCAGAAGUAUUACUGUUACAGAGUAAUUUUUAUGGCAAUUUCUUUUCCAAACCAGACAAUGUUUGGUAGAGGCCCAAGUAAGAAAUUUAUUAUUUAUUUAUUUAUUUAUUUAUUUAUGCCACUCAAAUUCAGGCUAAAGUAAACAUCCUUAUAUUCUCCUGUGUCAGUGCACUUUUCCUUUUAAUGUUUUAAUUGAGUACAGGCCCUUUGGUUCCAACUUUAUAGUUGCGGUCUCAAUUUCAAUUCCUUGCUCUUCUGAAUACCAGUCUCUGUUCCAGGUUCAGUCUGCGUUAAAACCCAAGAUUAGCACAUCCCCAAGAGCAGACAUGCUUCAGUUCAUAUGCUUACCACUUAAUUCUCUUUUUUUGUUCCCUGUCAUUUCUGGUUUCCCAAUGCAUUUAAGGAAUGUCUGUUAUAAGAGACUCCUUUGAAUUCCCUGCUCCUUGUAUUCUUAGCAAACAGAAGUCUACUUCUACUUCAUUCACUUGGACCUAAUUUUUGUGUACAUUCUGAGGAAAUGCCUAUUUCUAUUUCUUGCUUAUUUACUUAUAUGAACUAGUUUUAAUUCUAUUCUCUAUUUUUCUAACUGAAAUUACCUUUACUUAAAAUUCAUCAAUGAAAUUUUCUCUCCAUUUUAAGUCUUUUUAAAGCUUUCAUGUUAUUAUAACCUAGGAGAAAUUUUGAAUCAGGUUGAGUAUAUAUACAAGAAAAUCCAUUUAGUCACUUGCUAGAUGAAUGGAUUCUUUAUUUUCCUUCUAUAAGUCCUAGUGUUCAUGGCACAGCAAACACAAACAGAAGACUGUUUUCUUCUCCAAGCCACACUGGUAUUUCUGUUCCUAUCAGUUGUGUUGUACAAAUAUGAAGAGUCAAAAUUUUUGUUGCCUUAUGUUAUUUAUCUUAUUUAAUGUUUUAAAUAAUUUUAUUUUAAUUAAUUUAUUCAAAUAUUAUGUAACAAAUAUGAGUGAAAAAGUUUCUAUCAAAACUAAGUUCAGUUCUCUGAUUAAGGAACAAUUAUUUCAUGUUUCUAAAUGAAAUUUUCUUUCAAAAUUAAGUGUAGAUAAGAAAAUUCUAAAUAAUUGGGAAAAUAUUCUCAAAAUCUUAAGACUUAUGCACCAUUAGUUUGCAAAUGUGUUUAAAUUUUCACUUUCAAAAAUAAAAUAAAUAAAUUUUCACUUUCAACAAGUUAAAGUUGGAAAUUAGAGAUUUCAUAUUAGGAAAUAUUGUCUUUAUACAACUAGUAUGGAGCACUCCAAUCAAAAGAUAUUUAUAUAUACUAAGUUAAAAUAUUAUAUUUAAACAAUAUAUCAUUUAAAAAAUAUUCCUCCAGGCAUGUGGGUGGCUCAGUCGCUUAAGCGUCUGCCUUUGGCUCGGGUCAUGAUCUCAGGGUCUUAGGAUGGAGUCUCCUCCAAGGUCAGGCUCCCUGAUCAAUGGAGAUUCUGCUUCUCCCUCUCCCUCAGGCCCACCCCUGCCCCUUGUACUUAUUCUUUCUCUCAAAUAAAUAAUAUUUUUUUAAAAAAUAAGUAAAAUUUAUUCUUCAUAUGAAAUGAAUUUUUGAUUUACUGGUCCUGAAUACAUAUGAUAAUAGGACUCCCACUUUAUUUGAUUUCAUUAUUAUUAUAAUCCAAUUUUCUUACUGUCUUGAAUAUCAAUAAAAUAUUUAUAUUUAUUUAAAAAUUGAUCCAAGAGAAGAGAAGCAAUAACCCAAUAAACCUGCUCAAAAUAAAAUAUUUUAAAAAUUAUUUAGCAGAUUCAGAUAAAAAA